UGGGUGGUGGGGUGGUCAAGCGGGAGGUGGGACGCCUGCCCCCCCGCCCGCAGGUCCUUCAUCCCCGACGAGCACACGGUGUGGUGCCCGGAGCAGCUGCUGCAGCGCGUCCUGGCCCACGUCCACUACAUGCCCGACCACUGGCAGGGCAACGCCAGCCGGUCAGAGACACGCAGCGAGAUGGCACAGCUCUUCCAGUACAAGGCGGUGAGUGCAAGCAGGGAUGGGCAGCCCAGCCCUCCUGGCCUCCUCCUGAUGCCCCCGUUACCUGCAGGUCUUCAUCCUGGAGGAGCUGCUGAGCCCCAUCCUCACCCCCUUCAUCCUCAUCUUCGCCCUGCCUGCCCGUGCCCUGGACAUCAUAGACUUCUUCCGCAACUUCACGGUGGAGGUGGUGGGGGUGGGUGACAUCUGCUCCUUCGCCCAGCUCGAUGUCCGCAACCAUGGCAAUCCCCAGUGGCUGUCGGCCGGGCAGACGGAGGCCUCUGUGUACCAACAAGCAGAGAAUGGGAAGACAGAGCUCUCGCUGAUGCACUUUGCCAUCACCAACCCGCGCUGGCAGCCGCCGCCGCCAAGCGAGCUCUUCCUCAGCCAGCUGAAGGAGAAGGUGCAGCAGGACGCGGCAGCCGCGCCACCUGCCCAGCGCAUCCUGGCUGAGGGGCCACUGGGCACCUCCCUCCUCUCUGAUGACUCGGCAACAGCGCCGGAUGGCUUGCUGGCCAGUGUCCUGGCCCGGCCCAUCCUCUCGGCCAGCGGACUGGUGUCCCGGGACCGGCGUUUCGCCCAGCCCUGCAGCACCGCCAGCGCCGCCGCCAGUGUCCUGGCAUCCCUGGCAUCCCCCCUGCCCGGGCGGGCACGUGGGGGAAGGGUUGUGCCGACGUCACCAGCCGGGACACCCGAUCCCGGGGGACACGAUGGUUCUGUCCCCAACGGGGUGUUGCACAA
rnacentral:lncRNA from 1 species